rnacentral:lncRNA from 1 species
GCGGAGUCUGCGCUGAGUGAAGAGGUGCCAGAAUCCGCGAAGAGGGUCGACGAAUGCGCUGCCGCGGAGGGCCGUGGAAGAACUUGCCGAUGGAGGGACCACAGAGGGAUCUAUGGGAGAACAACGGCAACUGCAGGAGAGUGGGCCAAAUAAUCAUGGCAACAGGACUUUUAGAAGCACGUCCUCUGAAAGCCAUUUUCUGCCUGUGGUUGGAAAGGGACUGUGAGUCUUUCCUCAGGAAGUCAGUAGCCCUACCUGGUGAGGUGAUCAAGAGUUUGCUAGCACAAGAGAUGAAGGUAUACAGUUCAAUGAACUUUGACAAAUUUAAGUGAAGCAGUUGCCAUCACAAUCAAGAUACAUACAUACAGAAAAUUUCCAUAAUCUCAAAAGUUUCCUUCAAGUUCCUUUGUAGAUAAUCCCAUCUCCCUUCCCUAGAAACCAUUGGUAUGAUUUAUUUUCAUCUAGUUUUGCUUUUUCUAUAAUGUCAUAUAAAUAAA